ensembl:processed_transcript Gm38132 predicted gene, 38132
GCUGGAGCGGAAAGAGAGCCAAGUGAGAAGAAAUGGCAUUCCUGUUUGCCAUGAAAUAACCAAAGUAGAGAGAGACUUGAAUCAUUAAGUGAUGGGUGCACUGGGGGACCAUAAAGUGGUAGAAGAAGGACGCCCACAAGUAGAUCAGUGAAUUCAACUACCCCAGCAGGGUUUCCUCAGCCAGCCUGUUCUAACUUAGAAAGGCACUACUGGGUUGCCCUGUGAUGAGCCCACCAGUCACAAAUGACAACCGUGUUCGUGUCACUAUUGGCAGAAGCAGGUGGUGUGUUCUCUCACUUAACACAACAGGUUUACAUCACCACCCUUAGCAUCCUGGUAGCUUGAAGCAUGGCUCUGCUCUGUCUCUCUACAAAGUCUAUAAAAACCCUCCGGUUCCCACAAGGCUAAUCGAUGAAAACGUAUGGUUCUCACUACGCAGAUCCUAUCACACCUUGUGUUCCAGACACUGUUUCAAACGGGCUGUGAAGCCAUAUCAGAAUUCCCAACAGAGACAACUUAAAGAAGAAAGAAUGCAUAGUGGCUCAUGGUUCCCAGGGAGAGCUGUCCAUCAAAAAGGGGGAAGGCGUGGCCGAGUCUGUGACCUGAGAGCAUGGAGCAGAGGCUGCUCCUAUGUAAGAAGCAGGGAGCUCAGUCAGGAGCCAGAAUCUCUGCCCCAGUAACCCACUCCUGCUGGUGAAGCCACAGCCUCCAAACCGGCGCCACCAGCAGGGGCUAGGUGUUCAUACACAUGC